UACGUAGGGGGCUAGCGUUGUCCGGAUUUAUUGGGCGUAAAGAGCGUGUAGGCGGCCAGGUAGGUCUGCUGUGAAAACUCGAGGCUCAACCUUCAGAGGUCGACCGAAACCAUCUGGCUAGAGUCCGGGAGAGGAGAGUGGAAUUCCUGGUGUAGCGGUGAAAUGCGCAGAUAUCAGGAAGAACACCCGUGGCGAAAGCGGCUCUCUGGAACGGUACUGACGCUGAGACGCGAAAGCGUGGGGAGCGAACAGG
rnacentral:rRNA from 1 species